rnacentral:rRNA from 1 species
GACAGAGGUGCCAAGCGUUAGGCGGAAUCACUGGGCUUAAAGCGUGUGUAGGCGGAAUUGUAAGUACCUUGUGAAAUCCCACGGCUCAACCGUGGAACUGCUCGGUAUACUGCUUUUCUUGAGCCACUUAGGGGCUGUCGGAACAAACGGUGGAGCGGUGAAAUGCGCAGAUAUCAGGAGGAACACCGGUGGCGAAGGCGGUUCUCUGGGCAUGUCCUGACGCUGAGGAGCGAAAGUGUGGGGAGCGAACAGG